GCGUCGCGAGUGGCAAGGUUUCGUGCAACACUGGCCAACCCCAACCGUUGCGCGCACACGUCGUCGUUGCCUCACCUGGCGACUGCGCAUCGAACCCGUCGUCGCUCGUUGGCUAGCAGCAGAGACCCUCUUGCUCGUUCCCGUGUUUCAUUUCCCGCACGGUGAACUCAGGCGCGCGCGUAUGCGCAACAAGGACGCGCAGCCCGGUGUUCGCCCGGCCAAAUGCACGCGACAAGGACCGAACGAGGCGCGUUAAAAAAACGCGGAAAUUACCAGCCAACGACGAUAACGCGACGCACGACGGACGAGCGUCGUUGCACGUUGCCAGCAGCGAAAACGCAACGUAGCCAGGUUAAAAGAGACGAAGGGAAAGGCAGGUCAAAGCAGCGACGCACUGGCCAGGUGCGCAGACAUUCCACUCGCUUUGCGGUACGCUCGCCCCGCUUCCCCCGACCACGAUUAUUUUCCACCUGGAGCGCCACGUUUUACUUCUUUAUGGCGGACCGAGCGAUAGGAACGCAUACGGAUGCCCGAUUGGAGGAGGUGCGACAAGGAGAAGGUGGAAGGUGGUGAUCGCGAGGAAACAAAAAUGGCGGCUAACCGAAGCGCGCUUCUUCCGAGUUAUAAAGAGGCUCUAUAACCGAUCACAGAGUUUACGUCGAAUCGACUUAGGAAGGAGAACGAAAGAGAGCGAAGGAAAGCUAACGAACAACAGGUUGGCACGUUGAACGUGUGGGGUGGGAAGACGGGAGAAUGAGAAGAGCUACGUAGAGACAGAGAAGCAGAAAACGGGAAAGCAAUCAUCGUUGGAUUUGGUAGGAAUAUCCGUAGAAGCGAAAUGCUUAGCGCUAUGUAAGAGCGACGACGUCGUGACAGGGAGACCGGAUUGGUCGGUCACCUGUUGCCUGCCUGCUGUGAUUGGUCGGGCUCGACAGCGCGUAACGACGGCCAGAGGAGGACAAGUGCACCGUCCGCUGGUCUAUGAUGGACCAACGUCGAAAAUGGGCAUACUCGUAUAUGUAUACGAUGUAAACUUUUGUCCUUGCUCGCGCGAACAAAUCAACUACGUUGUUAUUACGAUACCUUUUUGUUGUUCGCCAUUCACGUAAAUUCGUUCUUACGUUCGAUACGUACGUUCUACGUGCGCACAUAUCGGAGCGGACAUUAUUGCUUCGACGUUUAUUUACGCGCUUGGUCUUUAACUGCAUUCUACGAUAUAAAUAUUUAUCAGCGUUACCUUCGAAUUAUUUACGUUUCUUAAAUAAAGGUAAAGUUUAAAUACCUAUGCGGUACGAGAGAUAAAGAAAAGAUAUACGUACAUACGUAUACGUACAUAUGUCUAAUGCGACAGCGGGUCUAAUAUUUGCGAUAUGACUAUCGUGAAACGCGAAAUUAUAAAUGGACGUUGCGUGUACGACGGCAUGUAAGACGGAAUAACAGGGACGAAAUCCUUGUACGCGCGGCGGAACAGGUGUACAAAGUUCGCGCGAACGGACGAUGGGAAUCGCGCGAGACCAAAGUCUACGCUCGAGGAGCAAAGUCUGCGCGGACGAUGGAAGGAAAGCCGGUUCGCGAUAUCGGACUCUGAACUUUUCGCGUUACAUUCGUAUUACUUCUGUGUUGGCGAAUGUUACGCUGUUCGAGAAUAGA
rnacentral:misc_RNA from 1 species